GACGAACCGUGCGAACGUUGUUCGGAAUCACUGGGCUUAAAGGGCGCGUAGGCGGAUCAUCAAGUCCGGGGUGAAAUCUUUCGGCUUAACCGGAAAAGUGCCUUGGAUACUGGUGGUCUCGAGUGAGGUAGGGGCAUGUGGAACUUCUGGUGGAGCGGUGAAAUGCGUUGAUAUCAGAAGGAACUCCGGUGGCGAAAGCGACGUGCUGGACCUCUUCUGACGCUGAGGCGCGAAAGCUAGGGGAGCAAACAGG
rnacentral:rRNA from 1 species